UUCAUCUUGCAUGAUCUGUCUAUGUAUUUAUGCAUUUCAGCCUGUUUUACUUCUUGGUGUAUGUUGGUAUAUACCAAGUUGGAGUUUUUUUUAAUCUCUUUCUAAUCCUGCCUCUGGUGUUUCCUCACUUUCCUGUUUUUAGAAAAUGCUGUUGUUAUUGGGUGUUUUACAAUUACAAAGCCAUGUAUUGCUUUGGGUGGAUUCUGUGAAGCAAUUUCUGUUAUAUUUUAUAUGAAUGAAAAGUUUUAUACAAAUAAAGAGUGAUUGAUUGA